UUGUGUGUUGUGUGAAGUUCUUCCUUGUUUGUUUUAAACCUGCUGCCUAUUAAUUUCAUUGGGUGACCCCUUGAUUCUUGUGUUGUGUUAACUGCAACAAUAUUGCCAAUUCUUGCAGUUUUAUGUCCCAGUUUUUCCGUAAUAGUCUGUUCAAAGUGCAGUGUCCCUUGAAUGCAGUGAAAAUACCUCCAUUGAUUUCAGUGGGGUUUUGGAUCUAUUUCUCUUCUACAUGUACUUCAAUUUCUGGACGUUUCUACUGUUUUCCCUCUUUCUGACCUUUUCUCCAUCUUGGCCACUGUGUAAUGGCUCAUCCUUCUUUAGCUCCAGUCUUUCGCCAAGGCUUCUCCUACACUGGAAGAUCACCCUGACCCAUUGCCCAGCGUAGUCUCUCUCUCCUCAGUCAACCCAAGCUGAAAGAUCCCAUAUCAUAGUCCCUGUGGUCUCAGGUCUUUUUCUAAUGACAGCCUGCAUAAAAAAAAUAAUCUAGAAAUUCAGCUGCUGGCAGGAACACACAGGAUGAGUUUUUGUGUUCUGCUUCCUGGAGAGAGCACAGACUGGGCAGCAUGAGGGUGGAGGAGUCUCAAGCUAGCAUGGUCAGAACAGCAUGCCCAACAGCCCCUCCCCAAACCUGCCCUCUGUGCUGGGACUUUCACGGAGCCCAGCAUAGGGCUGUGUGGUGGGGAGUUAGCUCACACAGGACUCGAAGGGGUGGCCAUCUAGGCCUAUUAACUCCACAGGCUGCACCUGGAGGGAGAGCCAGGGAGCAGAGAAUUGAUUGCAAGCAGGCUUAGCUGGGCAGGGCCAGGCAGGGCCAAUCAAGCCAGGUAGCUGGCAACAGCUGAAGACUGCUGCUGGGAUGGGGCAGCUGGGCUCUGCGAUGUCAGCGUGCCCCUUCCCCUCCACCAUCUCCCAUUGUCCCAUCACCACAACUACAUAGCACACCACACAGACCCCCCUAUGCUCAGUGCCCCAAAAUGCACAAACUUCCCCCACCCCCCAGCAUCCCUCACUGCCCAGCACCCACCCCCAGACCGCCAGAGAAACGUCCUCUGCAUCCUGCCCCUCAACCACACUCACCGGCCCCACUAGGAGGUGGGACUGGGAUCACUUCGGCUCCUCGGGAGAAGUGCAGCCAGCCAGGCCAGAGCAAGAGCGGGGCCUGCCUGGGCCAGGCUCCAUCAGGACCCACUUGCCUAGUGGGACCUGGCUAAGCUUCCCAUGCUGCCCCACCCCUCGCUGUCUGAGACCAACCUGGCCUCUGCACUGGUCCCUGGAGGCUUGCCUCGGGGAGGUGGGUAGAGAUCCAUAGGCAGUGGGCAGCAGAGACCGCUUGGAGACAGCCAUGCUGGGAAUCAGGGCAGACCCCUGGGAUGUGACCCCCAAAAAGCCCGACCAGCCAUGCCCAUGGCCAGUAGCCCUGCCCAGCCCACAUGGAGCCUGGCUUCUGGGUGGCAAGCCCGCUACAGACAAGAGGGACCUGCUGGCUGGGAGCUGCUCACACAGCAAGGCCUGGACUUGCCCAGGUGAGGGGCAGCCCUGGCCAUGUAGACAAGCUAGAGGGGUCCAUAAUGGGCCCUUUCCCAGUGUGGGCCCAGCACCUUGGUGUCAUUGUAACCCCAGUACUGCAGAGAAGGAGCAGGAGGGCUGUGAGAGUAAAUCCCAGAACUGCUGGGUUAAGGGUCACUGGACUGGACCCUGGAGUAGUGGGUGGAGCCUGGUUCCCCUGCCAGCCACCGAGGGCGUGGCACAGACCAGCAGGGCAGUGAAUGGGAAGGCUGCCUGGGUCACUGUGGAAAUGACAGAGAAUUGAAGGACUAUACCCCAGAAGGGGAAACCACAAUAGUGAGCUGGCUGGAGGGCUGAGUCACAAAGAGGACAGCUGCAGUUCCUGAGAACGAGAGAGGUGCUGCAGAGGAGAAACUGACUGGGUGUAACUGCUGGAAGGGGCAUCCACCUCAAGAGCUAAUCUCCAGAGUGACCAGGAGGAGGCGCCACACAAGCGAGGAAACCUGAAGAACUCCACCUACGCUUGGAAUGGAAACUUCCCCCUCCUCUGAUAAGAGCGAAGGGGUGCAAUCAAUCUCCACUCCCUACCUCAAGUGAUGAGAGAUAAGAGGUCAAUAUUUUUUUCCAUUCCCUGACAUGGAGAAUGAGCUCUGAGGAACAAGGAAUGUGAGGCAUUUCCAAGAGAAUCAAGCCUAUAUAUUGCUGGCUGAGUAGCAGCAUUCUGUAUCAUGUGGGCAUCAAAAGCCUGAGUGGUGCGAUAAGACUGCCAGUGAUGGACAUAAACUGAAUAUACAGCUAGACCACCUUAAGCCACAGCUCAAUCCCCGAUCGCGCUUAAUUUGCAAGGAUGCCAAGGCCCUUUGGUCUUUGCAAUGAUUCUGUUGACUCUUAACUGAUGAAUGGAGUCCCUUCAUUUCUCAUAAUGUGGGUGUAUCCUUUCCUCUGUAUCCAUUCAAAAAUAAACAAUAUAUUCAAAAAUA